CUCAAAAGCAUAAACUGCAGUUUUUCACCUAAAAAACCAAAGCUAACCAAAAAGUUAACCAACCAUAACCCAAAAAUUAUUUCAGCUGUUUGAGAAGAGACCUUCUAAGCCAAAUUUCAAAGGAGUCUGACCAAUGAUGUGGCUAUUAUUAUUAUUAUUAUUUAUUUGGAUUAAACGCAGACAGAAUGAAUGCUAUAUAAGACACAACUACAUUUGCAGUGAUUGCCCCAAGGACCUUACAACCCAAAGCUGUGCUAUGUAAAGCUUUACAUUUCUGUAUGAAAAGGCAUUCAAAUCUUCUGCAAUAUGUACACUGUGAUGUCAAAUUUAUUAUUUGGAGCCCCCCACAACCAACGAGGGAAUGCACUGAUGAAGAGAGCAGUGUGGGUUGCAAAGAGAAUUUGACAACAAAAAGACCCUAAGCUAUAUGGCAACCCAGCCCAUCAUCAGUCACCAGAGUAAUUACAGUUCAGCUGCUUAUGGGUCAACAUAUCAGAAACUUGCUACCAGCCUUAGAGGUAAAAAUAAGUCUGUGGCCUUCCUUAAAGGAUGAGAAGUUAAGAGAUCUCAAACCUAAGAGGUCUUAGGCUUUCUUCUAUCAUCAUCAGAAUGCAUCCCAAAACUUCCUUGAAUGUAAAUUAGGAGACUGAUAAAAAUGAAUGAGGACAAAUAUUAUACGUGUGCUGUUGGAACUGGAUGUAGCUGAACAGCGAGGUCCAGGACCUCAAAGGUGCCUAACUGCCACUGAAAGCCCUUUAGGCACCUAAAAUCAAUGGGAGUUAGGCAACUAAGUACCUUUGAGGAUCUGGGCCUGAGAUCCUACACAGCUGAACAUGACCAAGGUACUCAAUACAGAAGAAAUAUAUAGCUUCUGAAACCAUUUCCACCUGUGCAAUGGAAUGUCUUUCACUCUCUACAGGUUUGUAGGGUGGAUGUGAGAGAGGAACAGAAUUUGUCCACAGUCCUUCCUUACUUUGGCAAAAUCUGCAGUAACUUCAGUGGGCGUUUUGCCUGAGUAACCAAUACAGGAUUCGACCCAGUUGUAUGGAAACUAAAAACAAUUUGGCAAACCGGAGCUCAGUUUUGAACCCCUUCCUUUGGAGGAUCAGUUUGACAGUAAGGCCUGUUUUCUGUGCCUACAAGUCAAACUCAAGUCUGAAAUGCCAGAUCUGGACAUCUUAUUGAGGUGCCCAUACUUGAAAAGUGGGCCCAAUAUGUUUAGUUGCUGGUGUUUCUUUUAAAGAAUGGCAUUUGGAUUCAGCUGUCUGCAAAAUACAGUGGUGACAAAUCAAACACUAUCAGCAGCUUGCAGAAUAUUAUCACCAAUUUGCAGAAGAUGUGCAGAAAGCAGCAUGACUGUUUUGUAUCUGGAGAAAAAAUCAACAGAUCGAGCCUCUGGCAGCCUUUGACUUUUGCAGCUAUUUAUGUUUUAUAUACACUUGAUUUGCAAAUCAGUGCAGGUCUUAACACAGCCAGCCCUUGUUUUCAUCAGCCAAGUGAAAUAUUAUACGAUCCAUUAAGUUAUAUUUGGCUACAUGAUGCGAAAGCACUUGAAAUGCUCUGCAUUCUGCCUGGUGAUAAGCAAAAAUCACUCCACCAAAUUAGAACUAGAAUAGUGGUGUCAUAUGUUAAGAUGUUAUUCAGAGGCAGCUGGUCUGGUUGGGGUUGCUGUGUCUUUUCAGUGCAGAGAUAAUGGCAGAGCCCAUGAUCCAAUUCUAUUCCUUCAGUGCACUUUCUGCUUUCAAUGUAUUCACCAGAUCAGCAGCACAGGAGAGUGGUCCCACUAUGGUAACAGAGCUUGGGAUUCCAGUAUGGGUCUAACACUAUUUUCUCUCUUAGUGCCUGAUCCAAAGCUCAGUGACAAUAAUUGAAAGAUGCCCAUUGACUUCAUGGGCUUUGGAUUGGAUCAUUCUUUACAAACAAAAACUAGUCAAAGUUAUUUUUAAAGUCAUGUGAACAUGAAUAAAAAUAUAGUGGGACUGAAACUGCUUUCUAUGUCAUCUAUACUCUGUCUACAUGGGGCCUGUAGUAAAUAAUCAUUGGUGUAAUUCCACUGACAUCAGGGAAGGGGCAAUUUGGCCCUUGAUUUUUAACAUCGGUAUGCUAGAAAUACAUGUUAUUGGCAAAAUUUUCCAGGGUCACUGACUCUGGUGCGACACACUUUAUAUUAUACUUCCCCAGGCUGGGCUGGUCCCAGCAAACAGGGAGGAUUCACUUCUACAGAGGGCACUGCCUGCCCUUCCUUGGGAUUUCCACCGUCUGGGGCGGAUGUAAAAUCUCCAUAGGAACCCACUGAAGCUGCUGAGGGGAUUUGCUUAAUCAAUGCAAUCCUGGCCACUCAAACCAUUCCCCCUAUCUGGCUAACACCACUCACUUUUUGGUCUGUGCUGACUCUCCCCGGCAAUCAGGCAGUU